GGGCUCUUCCCAUCGCUCUUGUAGAAGUUCUCACUGUGAGUUCAGUGCUGAGUGCCUGGAGCUGAGUUCAUGUCAAGUUUCUGUGACUUCUUACUGAAGACUGGGUAGGAUCCUUGGAAAUCCUCAAGCGUAGAGAUGGAGACAGUGACCUUUGAGGAUGUAGCUGUGAAGUUCACUCCAGAAGAGUGGGAUUUGCUGACUCCAUCCCAAAAGAAGCUCUACAGAGGAGUGAUGUGGGAAACAUAUAUGAAUAUUACUGCAACAGGAAAAAUAUGGAAUAAUCAGCAAAGUAAGGAAGAGGACAAAAAUUGCUCAAGUAAUAUAAGGUGACUGAAACACAGAAGAGAAAGAGAACAUUACUUAAUUGUCAGUGUGUGAGCAUAAAUAUUAAAACAAAGGAACCUGAAGAAAUGAGAUCAUGUUAUACCUUACUUAGCCUCAAAAAAUACCAAGAGAUAUACUUGAUUUUAUUUUGUAUUAUCUGGGAAUCCAUAGAAACAUAUUGAAAUAUAAGAAUCAGAGGUAAUUCUAAUACAUGUACUAAAUAACACUAUGUAAUGUAUCAGUUUAAAGAUUACCUUCGUGAUCAACAUCAUAGAAAUGUAUGAAAAUAAAUUUAAAUAUUGUAUUUUGAUAUGUAGGAAAUGAACAAAUUGUGAAAGUUGAUAAAAACCCAUCUUCAAAAUAUCAUUUAGAUAUACAUGUGAAUACUGAGACUUUCAUGAUCUAGAAUUCUUUUCACAUAGAAUCAGUAUUCCA